AUUAGUGCAGUGGAUUUAAGCUCCACAAAUAAAGUUAAAUACUUUUUUUAGAA
rnacentral:tRNA from 1 species